rnacentral:rRNA from 1 species
UGCGGGGGGAGCAAGCGUUGUUCGGAUUUACUGGGCGUAAAGGGCGCGUAGGCGGCCACCGCAAGUCGACUGUGAAAUCUCCGGGCUUAACCCGGAAAGGUCAGCCGAUACUGCGGGGCUAGAGUGCAGAAGGGGCAACUGGAAUUCUCGGUGUAGCGGUGAAAUGCGUAGAUAUCGAGAGGAACACCUGCGGCGAAGGCGGGUUGCUGGGCUGACACUGACGCUGAAGCGCGAAAGCUAGGGGAGCGAACGGG